rnacentral:rRNA from 1 species
AACGAACGCUGGCGGCAGGCCUAACACAUGCAAGUCGAGCGAGAACUUCGGUCCUAGCGGCGGACGGGUGAGUAACGCGUGGGAACGUGCCCUUUGCUUCGGAAUAGCCCUGGGAAACUGGGAGUAAUACCGGAUGAGCCCUUUGGGGGAAAGAUGUAUCGGCGAAGGAUCGGCCCGCGUUGGAUUAGGUGGUUGGUGGGGUAAUGGCCUACCAAGCCGACGAUCCAUAGCUGGUUUGAGAGGAUGAUCAGCCACACUGGGACUGAGACACGGCCCAGACUCCUACGGGAGGCAGCAGUGGGGAAUCUUAGACAAUGGGGGAAACCCUGAUCUAGCCAUGCCGCGUGAGCGAGGAAGGCCUUAGGGUUGUAAAGCUCUUUCAGCUGGGAAGAUAAUGACGGUACCAGCAGAAGAAGCACCGGCUAACUCCGUG